GGUAGGUGGCAAGCGUUGUCCGGAAUUAUCGGGCGUAAAGCGCGCGCAGGCGGUCCUUUAAGUCUGAUGUGAAAGCCCACGGCUCAACCGUGGAGGGUCAUUGGAAACUGGGGGACUUGAGUACAGAAGAGGAAAGCGGAAUUCCACGUGUAGCGGUGAAAUGCGUAGAGAUGUGGAGGAACACCAGUGGCGAAGGCGGCUUUCUGGUCUGUAACUGACGCUGAGGCGCGAAAGCGUGGGGAGCAAACAGGAUUAGAUACCCUGGUAGUCCACGCCGUAAACGAUGAGUGCUAAGUGUUAGGGGGUUUCCGCCCCCCUUAGUGCUGCAGCUAACGCAUUAAGCACUCCGCCUGGGAGUACGGCCGCAAGGCUG
rnacentral:rRNA from 1 species